rnacentral:rRNA from 1 species
GAUGAACGCUGGCGGCGUGCCUAAUACAUGCAAGUCGAGCGAAUGGAUUAAAAGCUUGCUCUUAUGAAGUUAGCGGCGGACGGGUGAGUAACACGUGGGUAACCUGCCCAUAAGACUGGGAUAAAUCCGGGAAACCGGGGCUAAUACCGGAUAAUAUUUUGAACUGCAUGGUUCAAAAUUGAAAGGCGGCUUCGGCUGUCACUUAUGGAUGGACCCGCGUCGCAUUAGCUAGUUGGUGAGGUAACGGCUCACCAAGGCAACGAUGCGUAGCCGACCUGAGAGGGUGAUCGGCCACACUGGGACUGAGACACGGCCCAGACUCCUACGGGAGGCAGCAGUAGGGAAUCUUCCGCAAUGGACGAAAGUCUGACGGAGCAACGCCGCGUGAGUGAUGAAGGCUUUCGGGUCGUAAAACUCUGUUGUUAGGGAAGAACAAGUGCUAGUUGAAUAAGCUGACACCUUGACGGUACCUAACCAGAAAGCCACGGCUAACUACGUGCCAGCAGCCGCAGUAA